UAUGAUUCUUUUUUUGUGAUA
ensembl:piRNA 21ur-10436 ncRNA